CCUACGGGGGGCAGCAGUGAGGAAUAUUGGUCAAUGGACGCAAGACUGAACCAGCCACGCCGCGUGAGGGAUGAAGGUACUCUGAAUCGUAAACUGCUUUUGUAAGGGAGCAAAGACUGAGACGUGUUCCGGGAUGAAUGUACCGUACGAACAAGGAUCGGCUAACUCCGUGCCAGCAGCCGCGGUAAUACGGAGGAUCCGAGCGUUAUCCGGAUUUAUUGGGUUUAAAGGGGGCGCAGGCGGGUUGUUAAGUCAGGUGUGAAAGUUAGGGGCUCAACCGUGGAACUGCAGUUGAAACUGGCAGCCUCGAGUAGGAGAGAGGUAUGCGGAAUUCGAGGUGUAGCGGUGAAAUGCAUAGAUAUCGCGAAGAACUCCGAUUGCGAAGGCAGCCUGCUGG
rnacentral:rRNA from 1 species